ACUGGGUUGAAGACUAACUUUUCAAAGAGCGCGAUCAUACCGAUUCGUUGUACUGAAGCUCCGGGCCCGGAUGGCUUCACAUGACUGUUCUACGAAUCUUGCUGGGAAAUCAUUCAAAUAGAUGUCAUGGUGGCAUUUGACCAGCUUUACGGGAUGGAUGGGUCAAGUUUUGAUAAAGUGAACUCGGCCUUCAUCACUCUUCUCCCCAAGAAGGUUAAUGCGAGCGGCCUGCGGGAUUACCGGCCAAUUAGCCUUUUGCACAGUUUUGCCAAGCUCUUCGCGUGCUGUCCAGGCGGCUGGCGAGCAAGCUUGAUGAUCUUGUCGACAACAAUCAAAGUGCCUUCAUCCGCAGUAGAUGCAUCCAUGACAAUUUCAUGUUGGUCAAGCAGUUGGCCAUAAAACUGCAUUUGAGCAAGACGCCGGCAACUCUGCUGAAUUAGCUGGACAUUGCUCAAGCGUUUAACUCUGUCUCCUUUUCAUAAGGGAUUUGGGCAUAGGUGGCGUGCCUGGACUGCGAUCCUUUUCAGAACUUCGAGCACACAGGUGUUGCUCAAUGGGACGCCGGGGAGAAAAAUCUGGAACACGCGCGGAGUGCGGCAAGGUGACCCUUUGUCACCACUUCUCUUCGUCAUUGUCAUGGACAUCUUGAGUUCGAUGUUUCGGGUCGCUGAAGAGCAGGGACUGCUACCCAUCCCCAACCGUCUGUCCCUCUACGCCGAUGUCACAGCUUGAAUCGUCCGUCAUCCCAGAAGAAUAAUGGGCAGCUCUCCCUAUAGAUGAGAAGCCUUGUUCUAACGGUUGAAGGAAAGCGGAAGGGUAAAGAAAGGCAGGAGCUGUAGACCAUGUUGGUCAACCAAGAGUUUGAGAUGGGAUGAUUAUAUUUUCUAUUUGGUUGAAGGGAUGAAGUAAACUCUGUUUUGGUUUGGUUUGAGGGAUAUAAUGUGUUAGAAUGAUCCUAUAUCUUCUUUGGAUGGAUGGAUGGAUGGAUGGAUGGAGGUGCGGUUGUCUACAUAGUUACUCCCUCCGUCCCAUAAUAUAAGAGAUUUUUGGGUGGAUGCAACACAUCCUAGUACUAGGAUUCAUUGUACUAUGGCCCUGUUUAGAUCCCCUGGCAAAGUUUUACACCCUGUAAUAUCGAAUAUUUGGACACAUGUAUGGAGUAUUAAAUAUAGACGAAAAA